GCCAGACACCUUAGUAAGUCACAUGCAAAUUGGCUAAAAUUACUAAGGCAGGAAAGACCACUAAUAAAUGUUGCAUCUUCAACCACAAGUCUAGGUAUGGCCUAGUAAGUAGGAUUACUCAAUUAAGCAGAGCAAAUAUUUGCCUUGAAAAUUGUAGUUAAUCAAAUUCCACUUCUGUCCAAGCCAAACUGAGGGUAGAACCAAUUCCAGAUGACACAGAGCAGAGAGACGGAGUCUGGUGGCAUUGCCUGAGGCCUGAGUGAAGCUGUGCCUGAACCCAUCUCUGCCUACUGCCUUUUUAAAGAACUAGACAUCUGUGCAGAAGGCUGAGUUCAUCAUCAUCCUCAGAUCAUGGCACUCAGCCAGAAGUGACUAAGGCGACAGUCUUCAGGACACAGAGAAGCUGCUCCUUGUGAUGAAAGCCACUCUUCAAUGAGCUUUGUGCAGGCUGGUGAUCCACGUGGUCCUACCCCCCCUCCACCUGCCCCACCGUGUGUCUCUGUGGCAAACAACUCACAAGUGCAACAGUGGCCUGGCAGACUGAAAACACACUGACCUACAGGCCACUGCUAUUGGUAAGGAAAGAAAAUGCAAGAAUGCUUGGAAAAAAAAAGACCCAAAUACCAAAAUUUGGACAAACUAAACAAGUAAAAGAAGAAGUGGCAGAAAGAAAACUUAGACUUCUUGAAAUAAUUAAUGAAAGGAUGUUUUGAAAUAGCAAGUUUGUCCAGUAUAGGUAUAAUGAAAUUUGAUUUACCAAAAUUCCAUUUUUUUCCAAGAAUUUGUGGUAUAACAUGAAGCUUACCUUUCACAGCCAAGGCAAGGUCAUCCCCCCCUUGGAGGACAUGGUGCUGCUGAUGACUCUUGAGACAUCUCAACCUACAGUGGCUUCAAAACUUAUGCCUUCAGCUCUGCCUCCUCCCCACUCCCAAGCUUCAAACUCAAAUAUUCAGCUGCCUGCCUGUCUAUAGAUCCUCUUGGAUGUAUAAUAGCAUCUCAGCUCCAGCAUAACCAAAAGAUAACUCUUGAUUUUCACCCAAAUCUUGUUUUUGGUUUUUUUCCCCUUAGUCUUUACCACUUCCUUAAAUGGCAACACCUAUUCAAUUGCUCAAGC
rnacentral:lncRNA from 10 species